rnacentral:lncRNA from 1 species
GCUAGAGAUGGAUUAUACAUGACUAAUGAUUGUUAUGAUAUAUAAAGGAAAAGAAUGUCAGCAUUCAUUGAAAGUGAAACAGAGGUAAAUAAUUUGAUGUGUCUGAUUCAAUCAACUAAAAACCGUUCUAAUACAGGUAAAAUCGAAAAUGUACAUCCUUUUAACCUCAAAAUUGAAAUCACAAUGACAUAGAAAUAUCCAUUUGCAUUAGGUCCAUAUAUCUAGUUAUAUUUAUGUUUAUAUCGUGUUAUAUGACCGUCGGGUGUUUCAUUAGUCAUCUCGAUAGUUAUUUAGAUGGCGCCUAGGCUAAAAUACACACGAAACGAAGCUACAUAUUAUCAAUCGCAUGCCUUGUGAAUUGCUUAAUUUUGACUUUUUAUAAAUUGGAUAAAUAUUUUAUAUGUUUUUUAUAUUAUAAAUCUAAUAUGAGAAUUUGAGUGCAAUCGAUGAACAUAAAUUUGGGAGCUAAUGCCCUUAUAAAAUGAUGCUUAGCUUUCAUAAAG